rnacentral:rRNA from 1 species
UGUAGUCUGCAACCCGACUACAUGAAGCUGGAAUCGCUAGUAAUCGCGAAUCAGAAUGUCGCGGUGAAUACGUUCCCGGGUCUUGUACACACCGCCCGUCACACCAUGGGAGGUCGGAAAUGCCCGAAGUCAGUGACCCAACCGUAAGGAGGGAGCUGCCGAAGGUGGAGCCGGUAACUGGGGUGAAGUCGUAACAAGGUAUC